rnacentral:rRNA from 1 species
UCGAUUAGAGUUUGAUCCUGGCUCAGAAUCAACGCUGGCGGCGCGCUUAACACAUGCAAGUCGAGCGAGAAAGUGGAGCAAUCCAUGAGUAAAGCGGCGUACGGGUGAGUAACACGUGGAUGAUCUACCUUUUAGUGGGGGAUAACUUUGGGAAACCGAAGCUAAUACCGCAUAAGCCCUUAUCGGGAAAGCAGCAAUGCGCUGAAAGAGGAGUCCGCGGCCGAUUAGCUAGUUGGUGAGGUAACGGCCCACCAAGGCGAUGAUCGGUAGCCGGCCUGAGAGGGCACACGGCCACACUGGCACUGAAACACGGGCCAGACUCCUACGGGAGGCAGCAGUGGGGAAUCUUGCACAAUGGGGGCAACCCUGAUGCAGCGACGCCGCGUGAACGAUGAAGCCCUUCGGGGUGUAAAGUUCUUUCGGCAGGGACGAUAAUGACGGUACCUGAAGAAGAAGCUGCGGCCAACUACGUGCCAGCAGCCGCGGUAAUACGUAGGCAGCGAGCGUUGUUCGGAAUUACUGGGCGUAAAGAGUGUGUAGGCGGUGCUCUAAGUUCGGUGUGAAAUCUCCUGGCUUAACUGGGAGGGUGCGCCGAAAACUGGAGUGCUCGAACGUGGGAGAGGAAAGCGGAAUUCCUGGUGUAGCGGUGAAAUGCGUAGAUAUCAGGAGGAACACCUGCGGUGUAGACGGCUUUCUGGACCAUUGUUGACGCUGAGACACGAAAGCGU